GACAGAGGAUGCAAGCGUUAUCCGGAAUGAUUGGGCGUAAAGCGUCUGUAGGUGGCUUUUUAAGUCUGCCGUCAAAUCCCAGGGCUUAACCCUGGAAAGGCGGUGGAAACUGAAGCGCUAGAGUGCGGUAGGGGUAGAGGGAAUUCCCGGUGUAGCGGUGAAAUGCGUAGAGAUCGGGAAGAACAUCGGUGGCGAAAGCGCUCUACUGGACCGCAACUGACACUCAGGGACGAAAGCUAGGGGAGCGAAUGGG
rnacentral:rRNA from 1 species